rnacentral:rRNA from 1 species
AAAGCCUGAUCCAGCAAUGCCGCGUGCAUGAUGAAGGCCCUCGGGUUGUAAACUCGCUUUUGUACGGAACGAAAGGCCUGGGGCUAAUAUUCCCCGGGUCAUGACGGGUACCGUAAGAAUAAGCACCGGCUAACUACGUGCCAGCAGCCGCGGUAAUACGUAGGGUGCAAGCGUUAAUCGGAAUUACUGGGCGUAAAGCGUGCGCAGGCGGUUUGGUAAGACAGAUGGUGAAAUCCCCGGGCUCAACUGGGAACUGCCAUUGUGACUGCAAGGCUAGAGUGCGGCAGAGGGGGAUGGAAUUCCGCGUGUAGCAGUGAAAUGCGUAGAUAUGCGGAGGAAUCACCGAUGGCGAAGGCAGAUCCCCUGGGCCUGCACUGACGCUCAUGCACGAAAGCGUGGGGAGCAAACAGGAAUUAAAUACCCCUGGUAGUCCACGCCCUAAACGAAUGUCAACUGGUUGUUGGGUUCUUAACUGACUCAGUAACGAAGCUAACGGCGUGAAGUUGACCGCCUGGGGA